rnacentral:tRNA from 1 species
GUCGGGAUAGCUCACUGG